UUAGUUAAAGCCAAAAUAGAGGCAUUCCACUGUUAAUGGUUGAAAUGAAGGUUACUUCUAGCU
rnacentral:tRNA from 1 species